rnacentral:lncRNA from 1 species
AGAGUUUGAAAAUGAGUUAGAAAAAGAAACAAAAGAAAAAGAAGAUAGUGAGUGAGAACAAGUGAGGAAUGUUUCCACUAACCAACAUGUGAGUUUUCCUCGUGUUGUUUCUUUUUAGGUUUCUGAAGAAUUGAUUAAUAAGUUUCAUCUACUUUACCUCCCAAAGGAGAGACAGUUCAUAUUGGGUGGAGAAGGUAACAUUCUGAACGACCCUAGUCCACCUAUGCCUAAAGGUAAGCAAGGUGAGGUUUCUAUAUCCUUUAAACAACC